CGCCUGGGGAGUACGGUCGCAAGAUUAAAACUCAAAUGAAUUGACGGGGGCCCGCACAAGCGGUGGAGCAUGUGGUUUAAUUCGAUGCAACGCGAAGAACCUUACCUACUCUUGACAUCCAGAGAACCUCUUAGAGAUAAAAGGGUGCCUUCGGGAACUCUGAGACAGGUGCUGCAUGGCUGUCGUCAGCUCGUGUUGUGAAGUGUUGGGUUAAGUCCCGCAACGAGCGCAACCCUUAUCCUUGUUUGCCAGCACUUCGGGUGGGAACUCCAGGGAGACUGCCGGUGAUAAACCGGAGGAAGGUGGGGACGACGUCAAGUCAUCAUGGCCCUUACGAGUAGGGCUACACACGUGCUACAAUGGCAUAUACAGAGGGCUGCCAACUCGCGAGAGUGAGCGAAUCCCAUAAAGUAUGUCGUAGUCCGGAUUGGAGUCUGCAACUCGACUCCAUGAAGUCGGAAUCGCUAGUAAUCGUGGAUCAGAAUGCCACGGUGAAUACGUUCCCGGGCCUUGAACACACCGCCCGUC
rnacentral:rRNA from 1 species